rnacentral:rRNA from 1 species
AUUGAACGCUGGCGGCAGGCCUAACACAUGCAAGUCGAGCGAGCGGCGGACGGGUGCGUAAUGUCUGGGAAACUGCCUGAUGGAGGGGGAUAACUACUGGAAACGGUAGCUAAUACCGCAUACCAUCAGAUUGGCCCAGAUGGGAUUAUCUGGUAGGUGGGGAAACGGCUCACCUAGGCGACGAUCCCUAGCUGGUCUGAGAGGAUGACCAGCCACACUGGAACUGAGCCACGGUCCAGACUCCUACGGGAGGCAGAAGUGGGGAAUAUUGAACAAGGGGCGCAAGCCUGAUGCAGCCAGGCCGCGUGUGUGACGAAGGCCUUGGGGUUGUAAAGCACUUUCAGCGGGGAGGCGUUACCCGCAGAAGAAGCACCGGCUAACUCCGUGCCAGCAGCCGCGGUAAUAC